rnacentral:rRNA from 1 species
GUCAAUGACAGUAGCCUGCUGAAGCCACCACAUCUCAUUUGGUCUGGGAAGCUAAGUAGGCUUGAACUUGGUUAGUCCUUGGAUGGGAGAAAGUCAACACGCUUUGACC